rnacentral:lncRNA from 1 species
GGUCCAGCUACUUUGAAAUCUCAUCUCAUGCCAUGCUUUUAGUUCCCCACUACACACAAGGAAGAAUCUGUGGGUGGAUGGUAAGACUUAAUCCUGACCAAGACAAACAGAGAUGCAAUUACGAACCGACAACCUGUGCUCCAUUUCUAACAGUGCUGGGAGGGAGAACAGCCAUGCUGAGGCUGAGAAUGAAAUCCACUUUCCUGCCUCAUAUUCUUUGUGGUUCUUGAUAGCUCUGUGCAACAAAAGAUUAGGAAGGGAAGAGCUGGCUUUCAAGCAAAAUAGCUGCUGCCUACUGAUGGACUAGCUUUGAGGCAGGGUGUUCCCCUUGAUGUCUCUCUGCAAUUAAAGAAUAAAGAUAAGGAACUCAAUAUCUGUUUGCUAAUG